ACGAUCGGGACUCAUCCGAGGCCCCGAAAUCGGAAUGAGUACACUUUAAAUCCUUUAAUGAGGAUCCAUUGGAGGGCAAGUCUGGUGCCAGCAGCCGCGGUAAUUCCAGCUCCAAUAGCGUAUAUUAAAGUUGUUGCGGUUAAAAAGCUCGUAGUUGAAUCUGUGUGCCACGCUGUCGGUUCAUCGCUCGCGAUGUUUAACUGACAUGAUUGUGGGACGUCCUACCGGUGGACUUAGCCUUUCGGGGCGGUUCAGUUUAAUCCCAUCGCGGUGCUCUUAAACGAGUGUCGAGGUGGGCCGGUACGUUUACUUUGAACAAAUUAGAGUGCUCAAAGCAGGCUAUGCUAGCCUGAAUACUAGUGCAUGGAAUAAUGGAAUAGGACCUCGGUUCUAUUUUGUUGGUUUUCGGAACCCCGAGGUAAUGAUUAAUAGGGACAGAUGGGGGCAUUCGUAUUGCGACGUUAGAGGUGAAAUUCUUGGAUCGUCGCAAGACGGACAGAAGCGAAAGCAUUUGCCAAAAAUGUUUUCAUUAAUCAAGAACGAAAGUUAGAGGUUCGAAGGCGAUCAGAUACCGCCCUAGUUCUAACCAUAAACGAUGCCAGCUAGCGAUCCGCCGUAGUUCUUUCGAUGACACGGCGGGCAGCUUCCGGGAAACCAAAGCUUUUGGGUUCCGGGGGAAGUAUGGUUGCAAAGCUGAAACUUAAAGGAAUUGACGGAAGGGCACCACCAGGAGUGGAGCCUGCGGCUUAAUUUGACUCAACAC
rnacentral:rRNA from 1 species